rnacentral:rRNA from 1 species
UACGAAGGGGACUAGCGUUGUUCGGAAUUACUGGGCGUAAAGCGCACGUAGGCGGCUUUGUAAGUCAGGGGUGAAAUCCCGGGGCUCAACCUCGGAACUGCCUUUGAUACUGCGAAUCUUGAGUCCGAUAGAGGUGGGUGGAAUUCCUAGUGUAGAGGUGAAAUUCGUAGAUAUUAGGAAGAACACCGGUGGCGAAGGCGGCCCACUGGAUCGGUACUGACGCUGAGGUGCGAAAGCCAGGGGAGCAAACGGG